rnacentral:lncRNA from 1 species
UGGCUUGAACAGACUUUGAAGGUACAACUGCAUCAGCUCCCCCAAUCACCAAAACUGGUAAACUUUCAAUUGCUUUUAGCAGUGUUGUUGCCUUUUCUAGGGAGAGGACUGUCUCAUAUGAUUGUUUUCCUAUCUCAUGGAGUGCUUCAUCCCGAUCUUCCACACAUAAUAGUGCCUGAUUACAUACACAGGCAGACAGGAUUAGAAUUGGAGUUUGUUACAUAUAAAGAGUGUAAAACUAUUGAAAGAACGAACGUGUGGCAAGUUCUUUCAUAUUGAUAAUGAAAAUCCAUUACCCAUAAUCCCAAAUAUAUAAGGGAAUCCUAAAUUGUUUAGGGGCUAGAUAGAUUAAUCUCUCCAUCCUUAAGCAGAAUAUAGGUAUGAAAUCUAAACAACUAAUAAUAAUAUAAUGAAUAAGGUUAUAAUGAUCUAGACGAUCAAGAGCAAAACAUAAAAUUAAAGUUAAUGUUUGAAUUAGACAUCAUGUAUUCGAAAAUAAUGUGUAUAUAUCUGAUAAGGUGUUGAAUAAGGUCAGAGCAGAGGGAGGCAUAAGAACGGAAAAAUAACAAUGUUAAUAUUUGAAUUAGCUACCAUUUAUUUAAAAAGAAAAAAAUAUUUACUUGACUUACUUUUAUCUUCACUUUUCUUUUGGUUACAAUAAAACAAACAACACCAGAAUUGAAGAAGAACUACAAUAAUAUUAAAAAGACAAUUAGUAAACUAAUUAGAUAAAUAGAGCUCAAUUGACAUACUAACCUCAAUUAUGUUGAACUUGAGCCGAGCUUCCUAUGGCGCACAAACUUAAAGUGAUUGAUACCACUCCUUAUAUUUUAAUACAUUGAGCACCAAGAUACCAUGAAGAUCUCUUUGCAAGCUUAACACUCACUGAGAAUGAGUACAUCUGAAAUAGGCGCACCAUUAAAAUAAAUUAAAAGUUACAAAAUCACAAUGAUUUUAUAUAUAAUUUAAGAGAAAAAGAUAAGAUAUAUACAUACAAAGGACUGCAACGUACACCUUUUAACACAUUACCUUUCAUCCCAAGACCCCACAAGUUUUUACUCAUGGUUAUGACUUAAUAACACUAAUAACACAUGAAAGAGUAUCACUCUAAAUCAGAGGUAGUAUUUCACAGGAAACUCAAC